rnacentral:rRNA from 1 species
UGAACGCUAGCGACAGGCCUAACACAUGCAAGUCGAGGGGCAGCACAAGGAGCAAUCUGAGGUGGCGACCGGCGCACGGGUGAGUAACACGUAUGCAACCUGCCUGUAAGCGGGGAAUAACCCGUUGGAAGACGGACUAAUACCGCAUAAUACUAAAUUACUGCAUGGUAAUUUAUUUAAACAUUUAUGGCUUACAGAUGGGCAUGCGCAUGAUUAGCUAGUUGGAGAGGUAACGGCUCCCCAAGGCAGCGAUCAUUAGGGGUUCUGAGAGGAAGGUCCCCCACACUGGUACUGAGACACGGACCAGACUCCUACGGGAGGCAGCAGUGAGGAAUAUUGGUCAAUGGACGAGAGUCUGAACCAGCCAAGUCGCGUGCAGGAAGAAUGUUCCCUAUGGAUUGUAAACUGCUUUUGCAGGGGAAUAAAGUGCAUCACGUGUGAUGUUUUGUAUGUACUCUGCGAAUAAGGAUCGGCUAACUCCGUGCCAGCCGCAGC